GGAAUUUUGCGCAAUGGGCGCAAGCCUGACGCAGCAACGCCGCGUGGAGGAAGAAGGCCCUCGGGUCGUAAACUCCUGUCCUUGGGGAAGAUGGUGACGGUACCCUUGGAGGAAGCCCCGGCUAACUCCGUGCCAGCAGCCGCGGUAAUACGGAGGGUGCAAGCGUUAAUCGGAAUUACUGGGCGUAAAGCGAGUGUAGGCGGCUACGUAAGUCGGUUGUGAAAUCCCCGGGCUUAACCUGGGAAUUGCGUUCGAUACUGCGUGGCUAGAGUCUGAUAGAGGGAAGUGGAAUUCCAGGUGUAGCGGUGAAAUGCGUAGAUAUCUGGAGGAACAUCAGUGGCGAAGGCGGCUUCCUGGAUCAAGACUGACGCUCAGGCUCGAAAGCGUGGGUAGCA
rnacentral:rRNA from 1 species